UCUAAAUCUCUCAGAAAGAUUUAUGCAGUAGCGAUACAAUGAAGUAGUUGUAUGCUGUCAACUUAAUGUGACAGUCCCCUGAAGGGAAUAAUACUACUGUUGGUUAGACAUUUCCUGUAUAAUUAUGUUUACGAGGGUGGAGGUGCUUGUCUCCCUCUUGUAAACAUAAGGACCCAGGAAAUGUGUCAAGGCCGACAGGAAGCAGUACAGCUUUCUAGGUCUAACCAACAGUAGUAUUAUUCCCUUCAGGGGACUGUCACAUUAAGUUGACAGCAUACAACCU
rnacentral:SRP_RNA from 1 species